rnacentral:rRNA from 1 species
AGAGUUUGAUCAUGGCUCAGAUUGAACGCUGGCGGCAUGCUUUACACAUGCAAGUCGAACGGCAGCGCGGGGGCAACCCUGGCGGCGAGUGGCGAACGGGUGAGUAAUGUAUCGGAACGUAUCCUGUAAUGGGGGAUAACCAGUCGAAAGAUUGGGUAAUACCGCAUACGCACGAGAGUGGAAAGUAGGGGAUCGCAAGACCUUACGUUAUAGGAGCGGCCCGAUAUCUGAUUAGCUAGUUGGUGGGGUAAAGGCCUACCAAGGCGACGAUCAGUAGCUGGUCUGAGAGGAUGAUCAGCCACACUGGGACUGAGACACGGCCCAGACUCCUACGGGAGGCAGCAGUGGGGAAUUUUGGACAAUGGGCGAAAGCCUGAUCCAGCCAUGCCGCGUGCGGGAAGAAGGCCUUCGGGUUGUAAACCGCUUUAGUCUAGGAAAAAGGGGUGCGAGGUUAAUACCCUCGUGCUUUGAUGGUACUGGAAGAAUAAGCACCGGCUAACUACGUG